rnacentral:rRNA from 1 species
CCUACGGGAGGCUGCAGUGGGGAAUAUUGCACAAUGGGGGGAACCCUGAUGCAGCGACGCCGCGUGAGUGAAGAAGUAUUUCGGUAUGUAAAGCUCUAUCAGCAGGGAAGAAAAUGACGGUACCUGACUAAGAAGCCCCGGCUAACUACGUGCCAGCAGCCGCGGUAAUACGUAGGGGGCAAGCGUUAUCCGGAUUUACUGGGUGUAAAGGGAGCGUAGACGGCAGAGCAAGUCUGAAGUGAAAGCCCGCGGCUCAACUGCGGGACUGCUUUGGAAACUGCCCGGCUGGAGUGCAGGAGAGGUAAGCGGAAUUCCUAGUGUAGCGGUGAAAUGCGUAGAUAUUAGGAGGAACACCAGUGGCGAAGGCGGCUUACUGGACAGUAACUGACGUUGAGGCUCGAAAGCGUGGGGAGCAAACAGGAUUAGAUACCCUAGUAGUC